GGCGCCUGCUCGGACGCGGGAUGAGACGUCCUGACUCGACCCAGCCCGGCCUCGGCUGUGUCCUCGGGUGACCGCCGCAAGGAAGGCGGGAGCUCGCGAGUAGGCCUGCAGAGGCGCGUCCGCCCGCCUCCGUGGUCUGGGUCCCUCAUCUGGUUAGGAUCCCUGUAUCCUUUUCACUGCCCGGUCUACAGAACCAGCCU